GACGAGGUGUGCCGAGUGGUUAAGGCGAUGGACUGCCAAUCCAUUGGGGUCUCCCCGCGUGGGUCUGAAUCCCAUCCUCGUCG